UGAACGCUGGCGGCGUGCUUAACACAUGCAAGUCGAACGAGAACGGAUUAAAGCUUGCUUUAAUUGUCAGCUAAGUGGCGCACGGGUGAGUAAUAUAUAGGUAACGUGCCUUCAAGAAGGGGAUAACGUUUGGAAACGAACGCUAAUACCCUAUAUGCCUUUAAGACUUAAGUCUGCAAGGGAAAUAUUUAUAGCUUGAAGAUCGGCCUGUACAGUAUCAGUUAGUUGGUGAGGUAAUGGCUCACCAAGACAAUGACGCUUAACUGGUUUGAGAGGAUGAUCAGUCACACUGGAACUGAGACACGGUCCAGACUCCUACGGGAGGCAGCAGUGGGGAAUAUUGCACAAUGGACGAAAGUCUGAUGCAGCAACGCCGCGUGGAGGAUGACACAUUUCGGUGCGUAAACUCCUUUUAUAUAGGAAGAUAAUGACGGUACUAUAUGAAUAAGCACCGGCUAACUCC
rnacentral:rRNA from 1 species